rnacentral:rRNA from 1 species
GAUGAACGCUGGCGGCGUGCUUAACACAUGCAAGUCGAACGAAGCACUUUAUUUGAUUUCCUUCGGGACUGAUUAUUUUGUGACUGAGUGGCGGACGGGUGAGUAACGCGUGGGUAACCUGCCCUGUACAGGGGGAUAACAGUUGGAAACGGCUGCUAAUACCGCAUAAGCGCACAGCAUCGCAUGAUGCAGUGUGAAAAACUCCGGUGGUAUACGAUGGACCCGCGUUGGAUUAGCUAGUUGGUGAGGUAACGGCCCACCAAGGCGACGAUCCAUAGCCGACCUGAGAGGGUGACCGGCCACAGUGGGACUGAGACACGGCCCAAACUCCUACGGGAGGCAGCAGUGGGGAAUAUUGCACAAUGGGCGAAAGCCUGAUGCAGCGACGCCGCGUGAGCGAAGAAGUAUUUCGGUAUGUAAAGCUCUAUCAGCAGGGAAGAUAAUGACGGUACCUGACUAAGAAGCACCGGCUAAAUACGUG